AAAAAAAUUCCCUUUUUCUGGGUUGUAAGGAAUCUUUGAAAAUCCGUAUGAUCCACAUAUCUCCGUCACAUAACACAGAACGAAAUGAAAAGAAUGAUUAAAUCCAUGACAGUAACUCUGUAUUCCUACAGAGGAAGAUGAGACCCCUAACCGACUCUUGAUUUCGCCACUAAUAAUGAGACAGACAGCUACUAUUUACCUUAUGCAACUACAUUAAAACCAGCUCUAGGUGAGGAAAGAAUCCUCCAAAUCCCACCUUCAAAAAUUUUCUUCUCUUUGCUUCCACAAAUUAGAGUCAACCCCAGCCGUAGAAUCUCUGGCUUUCUGUUUCCAAUUAUUGUUCCAACCUUUUUGAAGACGACCCACAACUUGAUAAGCGUUAAUUCCCUCUCUUCAUCGCAAUCCAAACAAAACCCAGUAGAGUUUUGGGUUUGGUGUAUGAUUUCGAUUUUGUAAUUAUCUCUAUAUCGAUCGUGUUGAAUUGCGUUUUCUUUUUUAAGAUAUGAAUUUCAGGAGCUUGGAAGAGUUCUGGCCCUUCUAUGUGACGCAGCACUCAAAACCAUCAACGAGGCGUUGGCAAUUUGUGGGCACACUUACAAGUGUGCACUCUUUGCUCUGCUCGGUGUUAUUCAAUCGGUGGUUUUUGUUUUUUGUACCCUUCUUUGGGUAUGGUUUCGCUUGGUACAGCCGUUUCUUUGUGGAAAGGAACGUUCCUGCAGCUUUUGGGCAUCCAUUUUGGUCUCUUCUAUGUGAUUUUAAGACGUUUGGAUUGAUGAUUACUGGCCAAAUGAAUAGAGAGAUUAAGAGGAUUGGGAAGAGGCCUGUGUUGCUGGGAUUUUAGUCAUAAUGCAAAGGCAAUAUUUUUUUUUUUUCUGUUUGUUUCCUGUGAAAAUAAUCACUUAUCAAGGUUGCUUCUAUUCCUCCUCACUUUCUGUUGUUCCAUGUAAACAUGUUGAUUUCUAAAUUAAACGCAGGCACUGAGCAGAACCGAUUGAUAAAGGGAUUUUAUAUAUGCUUUUUAUUUAUCAGAAUUCAUCAUUUUCAGACAUUUCUGUUUCCUAAUUCAGCGUGAGAAUGGUUUGUUUGAU
rnacentral:misc_RNA from 1 species